GAUAAAAUAUAUUUAUCGCAUGAUAGAUAUAUCAAAGCGUUAGCGGUACAGGAUGGACCCGCGUCUGAUUAGCUAGUUGGUAAGGUAAAGGCUUACCAAGGCGACGAUCAGUAGCCGACCUGAGAGGGUGAUCGGCCACAUUGGAACUGAGACACGGUCCAAACUCCUACGGGAGGCAGCAGUGGGGAAUACUGCACAAUGGGCGAAAGCCUGAUGCAGCAACGCCGCGUGAGCGAAGAAGGCCUUCGGGUCGUAAAGCUCUGUCCCCAAGGAAGAUAAUGACGGUACUUGAGGAGGAAGCCCCGGCUAACUACGUGCCAGCAGCCGCGGUAAUACGUAGGGGGCAAGCGUUAUCCGGAUUUACUGGGCGUAAAGGGUGCGUAGGCGGUCUUACAAGUCAGGAGUGAAAGGCUACGGCUCAACCGUAGUAAGCUCUUGAAACUGUUAGACUUGAGUGCAGGAGAGGAGAGUGGAAUUCCUAGUGUAGCGGUGAAAUGCGUAGAUAUUAGGAGGAACACCAGUUGCGAAGGCGGCUCUCUGGACUGUAACUGACGCUGAGGCACGAAAGCGUGGGGAGCAAACAGGAUUAGGUACCCUGGUAGUCCACGCCGUAAACGAUGAGUACUAGCUGUCGGAGGUUACCCCCUUCGGUGGCGCAGCUAACGCAUUAAGUACUCCGCCUGGGAAGUACGCUCGCAAGAGUGAAACUCAAAGGAAUUGACGGGGACCCGCACAAGUAGCGGAGCAUGUGGUUUAAUUCGAAGCAACGCGAAGAACCUUACCUAAGCUUGACAUCCUGCUGACCCUUCCCUAAUCGGAAGUUUCCCUUCGGGGACAGCAGAGACAGGUGGUGCAUGGUUGUCGU
rnacentral:rRNA from 1 species